rnacentral:tRNA from 1 species
AUCAGGGUAGUUUAAAAAGAACGCCAGGUUGUGGUCCUGGAAGUGAUUUACUAUAAUCCCCUGGUU